UGGGGAAUAUUGCACAAUGGAGGGAACUCUGAUGCAGCAACGCCGCGUGCGGGAUGACGGCCUUCGGGUUGUAAACCGCUUUCAGCCAUGACGAAGCUUUUGUGACGGUAGUGGUAGAAGAAGCAGCGGCUAACUACGUGCCAGCAGCCGCGGUGAUACGUAGGGUGCGAGCGUUGUCCGGAAUUAUUGGGCGUAAAGAGCUUGUAGGCGGUUUGUCGCGUCGAUAGUGUAAACACGCAGCUUAACUGUGUGCCUGCUGUCGAUACGGGCUGACUAGAGGAGGGUAGGGGAGAAUGGAAUUCCCGGUGGAGCGGUGGAAUGCGCAGAUAUCGGGAGGAACACCAGUGGCGAAGGCGGUUCUCUGGACCUUUCCUGACGCUGAGAAGCGAAAGCGUGGGUAGCAAACAGG
rnacentral:rRNA from 1 species